ACCAAUUAAGAGUACAAGUGGAGGACUCUAGUGGGAAGAGUUAAGAAGUGACAGCGUGCAAGAUUACUAUUUCUACUGUUUCUUUUUAUAGGUGAGGGAAAAAGGAUAGGGAAGUGGAAACAGGGAAUGCUGAAGUACUGGAUCCAAUGAUCCAAUCAACCACAUUUGCACUAGAAUGUCAGAUUCCUGAGGGCAAAACCCAAGGCUCCCUUGGUCACUCUAUUAUCCAUGGAGCUUGGAGUGAUGUCUUGGCAAGAGGCAGAUGGAAGACCAGAAUGAGUACUCUCUUGGGGAAGCAGAUCUGAGAAGGAGCUGAUCAAGGCAUGUCAUUUUCUUCUCUGAAAUUCAUCAAACAACAAAAUACAUCACUUCAUGACCAUGGCAAGGAAUUAGUGAAGAAUAAACAAAGCCAUCCAUUCUGUGCUGUUGAGUGUCCUCCUGCUUUGGUGCUUCCCCACUGAGACGUCACAGACCAGUGGGACGGCCACCAGGAAUUUAGACAUCAACCAGGACGGAUGAUGCUUUGAAAGUGCUAACAAAGGCAUGAGAAAUGUGAGAAUUUCAACAAAUCGUCAAGAGGAAUGAAAGUGAUAUCGUGACUGAGAAAAGUUUGACCUCAUCAAAUUUCAUCUGUGGCCAUCUUCUAUCCUUAAAUGUGUGCGACCAGUGACAUUUCAGCAAAGCAGGCUUUAUGCAAAAUAUACUGCCUACAUAAUACUUCUUCCAGAAACAGGAAUCAAAUAAACGUUUUAGCCCUAGGGAUUAGGAACGGAUGGCUUUUAGUUUUAUUUCUUCUCCAAGGGAAAUGUAUUAAAGUAUGUAAAAAGUAAAAUAGUAAAGUAUUUAAAAUAUUUUAAAUUACUCAAGACACAGGAUGCAAGUCAGAAAAAAAAUCAUUCUCAAAAUGCAUUGUCCUUAAAAGUUGCCUAAUGUGUGGUUAGUAUAAGAAAACACUGCUCAGUUUUCAACUCUCAUGAGAUUCCAGAAGAUAUUAUUGGGAAUUCUGAGCCACAUUAAUAUUUUCAAAAGUAAAUAAAAAUUGAACAAUGACUUGCUUUAUGAUUUAUUGAUGUAAUAAAGCUAUCAGAGAGAAAUUCCUUUGUUCCAAAACCAAAUAUGUGUAUUUCUCUACCAAUAUUUUCCUUCCAUUCUGGACAUAACCUCAUUUUUUCUUACCUUACAAAUAUUUUUCUCAGUUAUUUAUCUCUCUACUCUAUUAUUAAUUUCUCCUUCUAUAUGGCCACCUCUGUCCUUCACAUUUCUUUCUGGCAAAUUCCUCUAGUUCCUCCUGUCUCCUGGACUCUGCAAUCCAAUCUAACUUAAGCCUUCACCAUUCCACUGAAACUGCUCUCCUCAGAUGCCCUUGGCCAGUGGGAUGGAUUUAUGUACUUCCUGUAUGCUAAUUCCAGACACAAAUAUCCAACUGCUUACCUGAGACCAACAAGUCAAUGUUAAAUAAGUAGCCCCAGCUUAAGAUGUUAGAAAGAAUCCUUUUGAAACACACACACACACACACCCUUUCAAUGUAUUACGUCCUUGAGAUGGGUUAAAAACAAAUGAGUGGAGCCAGAAGUAGAAUUUCAACAAUUUCCUUUGGUGAUAAUGCCAGGC
rnacentral:lncRNA from 1 species